ACGAACGCUGGCGGCGUGCCUAACACAUGCAAGUCGAACGAGAAACCGGUCUUCGGACCGGGAGUACAGUGGCGCACGGGUGAGUAACGCGUGAGUAACCUGCCCUCGUGCUCAGGAUAACGUCGGGAAACUGGCGCUAAUACUGAAUCAAGUCAGGGUCCGCAGGGCACCUGACCAAAGGAGGCCUCUGUUUACAAGCUUCCGCGCGGGGAUGGGCUCGCGUCCCAUUAGCUAGUUGGUAGGGUAACGGCCUACCAAGGCUCCGAUGGGUAGCCGGGCUGAGAGGCUGUCCGGCCACACUGGAACUGAAACACGGUCCAGACUCCUACGGGAGGCAGCAGUGAGGAAUUUUGCGCAAUGGGCGAAAGCCUGACGCAGCGACGCCGCGUGGGCGAUGAAGCUCUUUGGAGUGUAAAGCCCUGUCAGGUGGGACGAACCGAGGAGGGGUAAACAAUCCCUCCUCCUGACGGUACCACCAGAGGAAGCCCCGGCUAACUCCGUGCCAGCAGCCGCGGUAAUACGGAGGGGGCGAGCGUUGUUCGGAAUCGCUGGGUGGUAAAGGGUGCGUAGGCGGUCAGUUAAGUCUGAUGUGAAAUCCCUGGGCUCAACUCAGGAACUGCAUUGGAAACUAGCUGGCUAGAGUACGGAAGAGGGAAGCGGAAUUCCUGGUGUAGCGGUGAAAUGCGUAGAUACCAGGAGGAACACCGGUGGUGAAGGCGGCUUCCUGGUCCAGUACUGACGCUGGGGCACGAAAGCGUGGGGAGCGAACGGGAUUAGAUACCCCGGUAGUCCACGCUGUAAACGAUGGGUGCUAGGUGUUGGGGGUAUCGACCCCUCCAGUGCCGUAGCUAACGCAUUAAGCACCCCACCUGGGGAGUACGUUCGCAAGAAUGAAACUCAAAGGAAUUGACGGGGGCCCGCACAAGCGGUGGAGCAUGUGGUUUAAUUCGACGCAACGCGAAGAACCUUACCUGGGUUUGAACCGCAGAGGACAGCCGGUGAAAGCCGGUCUCCCUUCGGGGCCUCUGUAGAGGUGCUGCAUGGCUGUCGUCAGCUCGUGUCGUGAGAUGUUGGGUUAAGUCCCGUAACGAGCGCAACCCCUAUCCUUAGUUGCCAGCGGGUCAUGCCGGGAACUCUAAGGAAACCGCCGGUGAUAAACCGGAGGAAGGUGGGGAUGACGUCAAGUCCUCAUGGCCUUUAUGUCCAGGGCCACACACGUGCUACAAUGGUCGGUACAAAGGGUUGCUAAGCCGUGAGGUGGAGCUAAUCCCAAAAAGCCGAUCUCAGUUCGGAUUGGGGGCUGCAACUCGCCCCCAUGAAGGUGGAAUCGCUAGUAAUCCCGGAUCAGCACGCCGGGGUGAAUACGUUCCCGGGCCUUGUACACACCGCCCGUCACACCACGAAAGUUGAUUGUACUAGAAACCGCUGAGCUAACCCGUCAAGGGGGGCAGGCGUCUAAGGUAUGGUCAGUGAUUGGGGUG
rnacentral:rRNA from 1 species